AGCCAGCAAAAUACUCCUGAAUAUUCGUAAAAGACGUGUUGGGACUUAACAAAACUACUCUGUAACAUUAGGCUAUUGAAAGCCCUACAAACAUCAACAAGAAGGUGUCGUUAUAGAUUUUGCAUGUGUGCAUACUUUCUAAACUGAUUGACAAUUUUAUGAGCUUGGACUCCAUUGUGAAUAAAGUGACCAUGACUGACACACUUUUGUGCUUCAAAGAAUGACACUAUCAACCUCAGGUGUGGUGUAUUCUAUAAUACUACAUGUAUGGCCUGUUGGCUUCCUAAAGUUAUUACUUCAUCAGAAAGAAUCAUUUUGUCUUCAGAAGACUCCUUAGGCUUGGGGCAGAGACUCUGACAGUCACCGGGCAAAUGUCACGGUUCGCACCAUGACAUCCAGAAGUGCUCAACGGGGGAUUUGAACUGUGGUCCAUCUCUGCCUUAGUCCUGCUGUCUUGCUUCUGGACCACACCUAAGUUCUGCCUAAUGUCUAUCCUGGCCUUGUCUCCAGCACUGGGGGGCUGGACUUUACCUGUGGUUGCACCUGUCAAUCUCAGCCCACCUGAAGCUGAUGCCCAAUUACCCAGGUAAAAGACACUGCCUCUCCCUGAGGGCAGUGUCGGUUCAUUGACUCUGGCUCUGCUGUUUGGUUCCUGUUGUUUUGUGUCUUGAUCCAGUGUUCUUCACACUGAUUCUAGCUUCCGACCUUGGCUUGUUUCUUCGAUUUCUCUGACCUUUGGCUUCCCCUGACUUCGGCUUUCCACGACUACUCUUCUGCUAGUCCUUGCCUGUACUGCGACUUGGAGUAUAUCCCUGCACAGACUGUAGAAGUUGGCGUCUUGCCUGGUCACCCUGGUCUGUUUAUUUGCAAGCGUGAGCGUAUAUUUCUGUACACCGGACUCCACAUCAGGUAAGACCCUGACAGCAUGGUCGGAGCACUACACUCAUCCUAUCGUGGCAGAUUAGUCUUAAGGAAAAUAUAAUAAAUGGGCGAGUAGGAGCCAUGUCUGGCUGUGUAUAAAGUAUAAUACUAAUCCUCUAGGUACAGAGACUUCCAAAAGUUAACUAGAGGUAGUUGUGCCAAAUAGAAGGAAGGCUGUGUUGGGAGAGAUCACCCAUGCUGGAGGAAAUAUUCUUUCAUGGUCUAGGGAGUCUGGAGGAAUGAGAGAUGUGGGUUAAGGUUUGUUGGAUGAGGCCUUGAACUAGCUGUUAACUUGUGACUGUUAAAGACGCAUGCUUUGAUCCGGUUUUCUUUACGUCUUUAGCAUUGCUUCUUUUGGUGUGGAGAAAACCACCCAGAAAAACUAAGCAAGGGGGAGAAAAACCCCCACUCC